GACGAACGCUGGCGGCGUGCUUAACACAUGCAAGUCGAACGGAAGGGCGCGGCGCUUGUGGGGUGCUCGAGUGGCGAGCGGGGGAGUAACACGCGAGUAUACCGCACUUGUAUGUGGGAUAUCUCCAGGAGACUGGGGCUAAUACCGGAUAGGAGAUUCUGCUGCGUGGUGGUGGUUGGAAAGUGUCGGCGGUUGGGGAUGGACUCGCGGCUUAUGAGCUGGUUAGUGGAGUAGUGGCUUACAAGGGCUGUGACGGGUAGCCCGCCUGGGAGGGUGACCGGCGACCUUGCGACUGCGAGACGGAGCAGACGCGUACGGUCGGCAGCAGUGGGGAAUCUGGCACAAUGAGCGGAAGUCUGAGGCAGCAACGCUGCGUGCGUGAUGCCGUCCUUCGGGUUGUGAACAGCUGUCGCAGUAACCGAGGCGUGAGUGACGGUAAUGAGUAAAAAAGCACCGGCUAACUACGUG
rnacentral:rRNA from 1 species